CAUCUGAGCACCUUUACAGGUUGCCUCAAGUACCUACUCCAAAAUCCUGCCAGCUCUUGGAAGUCUUGGACCAUUAAUUGAUCAUUUCACGUAAAUUAAUAUUUUCUUCUUUAAAUACUUAUAAAUUAUAUGCCAGAGACUAAUUACUAAGAGGGGCCGUUUCUUAUCAAAUACAACUUAUUAUACUGUUCGCCCGUAUUAGGUUUACACCCUGUAUAUACCCGUCCUAGCGAAAUCACGAUAUGCAUUUUCGCCACUGACGGUAACGGAACUAAAUAAUAUUAAAUAUAAUUUUCCCUCGGUUUCUGAACACGGUUUUAGAGUUGGCAACCCCGGACCGCGACGCGACGCCAUCUUUUAUUUAUUCUAUCGUGGUGCGCGUCCUUCUGUGAGUUAGCUGACGGAAAUAUGGUUCAGGGUUGUUUUUGCCCAUGCCCCAUCAUCUGCCGCGAUCCUGGACAAGUUGGCGAUCAACAACAGGAUCCGGCCUGCGUGCAAUGGCCAGUGAAGUCUAUCCCAGUGCCUGUAUUAUUAUCAAGUCAUCACGCUGUCGUCGUCGGACUCGUCGGUUACAAAUGACGCGGCAGAUCUCUCUUAAGCUUAGAAAGAUGGUUGUGGCGCAGUGCUCUGCUACUUCGUGCCACAGGCCAUUCUCCAACUGCAGAUCUACGUGUCAGCGCGACAGUGCACUCACUCACCUUGUUUGGCCCGGUGGAAUUUGGUUAGCUUGCACAUUUUACCCUUCUCUUCAUUAAUUUAUUUCUGUAUUUUCAUUCAGUAAAUACAAAAUGUCAACAAUGACAGUAGUGAUAACAAGAGCGAGGAUAUUGACGAAGCAAAACUUAAAUAGAAAUUUCCUUUAAAAAUAAUCUGCCAUAUUUUUAAACCCAAUUUCUAUUUAAAUCUCAUUGAAAUUUAUAAUGAUCAUAGGAGUUGACCGUGACGUCAGUCGACACGUUUUCGUUUAAUUUCCAUAUCAGCA